rnacentral:rRNA from 1 species
UGGUGGCGAGUGGCGAACGGGUGAGUAACAUAUUGGAACGUACCGAGUAAUGGGGGAUAACUAUCCGAAAGGAUAGCUAAUACCGCAUACGCUUUAAGAAGGAAAGUGGGGGCUCUUCGGACCUCACGUUAUUCGAGCGGCCAAUACCUGAUUAGCUAGUUGGCGGGGUAAAAGCCCACCAAGGCGACGAUCAGUAGCGGGUCUGAGAGGAUGAUCCGCCACACUGGGACUGAGACACGGCCCAGACUCC